rnacentral:rRNA from 1 species
GACAGAGGGUGCAAACGUUGUUCGGAAUUACUGGGCGUAAAGCGCGUGUAGGCGGUUAUGCAAGUCGGGUGUGAAAGCCCCGGGCUCAACCCGGGAAGUGCAUUCGAUACUGCGUAGCUAGAGUACUGGAGAGGAUGGUGGAACUCUCGGUGUAGAGGUGAAAUUCGUAGAUAUCGAGAAGAACACCGGUGGCGAAGGCGGUUCUCUGGGCAUUACCUGACGCUGAGGAGCGAAAGUGUGGGGAGCGAACAGG